rnacentral:rRNA from 1 species
CAUGUAGGCGGUUAUAAAAGCUUGAUGUGAAAUCUCUGGGCUUAACCCAGAAACUGCAUUGAGAACUGUAUGACUAGAGUUACUAAGGGGAAACUAGAAUUCCAGGUGUAGGGGUGGAAUCUGUAGAUAUCUGGAAGAAUACCAAUGGCGAAGGCAAGUUUCUAGUAGAUAACUGACGCUGAGGUGCGAAGGUGUGGGGAGCGAACA